AUUGAACGCUGGCGGCAGGUUUAACACAUGCAAGUCGAGCGGAGACUUCGGUCUUAGCGGCGAACGGGUGAGGAAUGCCUGGGAAUCUGCCUAUUAGUGGGGGAUAACGUUCCGAAAGGAACGCUAAUACCGCAUACGUCCUACGGGAGAAAGCAGGGGACCUUCGGGCCUUGCGCUAAUAGAUGAGCCCAGGUCGGAUUAGCUAGUUGGUGGGGUAAAGGCUCACCAAGGCGACGAUCCGUAGCUGGUCUGAGAGGAUGAUCAGCCACACUGGAACUGAGACACGGUCCAGACUCCUACGGGAGGCAGCAGUGGGGAAUAUUGGACAAUGGGGGGAACCCUGAUCCAGCCAUGCCGCGUGUGUGAAGAAGGCCUUAUGGUUGUAAAGCACUUUAAGCGAGGAGGAGGCUCUUUUGGUUAAUACCCAAGAUGAGUGGACGUUACUCGCAGAAUAAGCACCGGCUAACUCUGUGCCAGCCGCCGCCGUAACAC
rnacentral:rRNA from 1 species